rnacentral:rRNA from 1 species
AUACCGUGAAACUGCGAAUGGCUCAUUAAAUCAGUUAUCGUUUAUCUUGAUAGUACCUUACUACUUGGAUAACCGUGGUAAUUCUAGAGCUAAUACAUGCUAAAAACCCCGACUUCGGGAGGGGUGUAUUUAUUAGAUAAAAAACCAAUGCCCUUCGGGGCUCUUUGGUGAUUCAUGAUAACUUAACGGAUCGCAUGGCCUUGCGCCGGCGACGGUUCAUUCAAAUUUCUGCCCUAUCAACUUUCGAUGGUAAGGUAUUGGCUUACCAUGGUUUCAACGGGUAACGGGGAAUUAGGGUUCGAUUCCGGAGAGGGAGCCUGAGAAACGGCUACCACAUCCAAGGAAGGCAGCAGGCGCGCAAAUUACCCAAUCCCGACACGGGGAGGUAGUGACAAUAAAUACUGAUACAGGGCUCUUUCUGGGUCUUGUAAUCUGGAAUGA